UGGCCGGUAGCCGGAUUAGGUCCUUAAAAAUAUAACCGGGAUUUACCCAGUUCCGAAGGUGUAAACAAACCCAUCGCCACUGCAGAAGUCUUUCAUGGAAGUGAGUACAACUGAUCCACUUUUAAUUUACUUGGGGGUACAUGAGAGCCUGAAGCUAACAGCCUUUCAUCUUUAUAACUAAAUCCACUACAUUCACUGUAAGAAAUGACAUUUCAUAAUGCAGAAAGGAUCCGUCAAGAGACUACAGAUUAUGAAUUAAAAUGGAGGUAAGAAAUCAUCUAUUUUGUUGAAUCACAGAAAAUCACUUGGUUAUACCUCAAGCAUAGUUACAUCUCAGUGGUUUCAUACGAUUCAACCUCUUCUGGAACCUCUAUAUGUUUCAGUCCUUCUUAGAUAAUUCAAUGGCUUGGCCAAUGCCAAUGGUUUAUCAAGUUUAUGUAUAUGUUAGUUUUUUCAUAUCUACUUAAAAUGGAGCCAAGGUAGGAGGAAGGAAAUGUUGAUUAAUAAAAAAUCUUACAUAAGAGUUAAGAUUUUAGAUAUUAUAAAAAGGAGCUUCUUAAUCAUUUUGUCAGUUGUCCCUUUCGUGUGUGUGUGUGAGAGAAAGAGAGAGUGGGCAAACAUAUUCUAAAUGCUUUGAUCAGUUAUGGAUUUAACAGUUUUUAAAAAACUCUAGGGUCUAGAAAUAUGUAUGUAUAUAUGUGUAUAUAUGUGUAUAUAUAUAGUUGGUAUCUACAAACCAACUGGACUAAAGUCAAUUAUCAUAAGAAAGGUGAAUAAGCCUAAGAUAGUGAUUCUCCAGCUUGGCUGCAUAUAGGAUCACCUGGAAAGCUUUAAAAAAAUGCCACUGUCCUUGCCAAAUUCCUAGAAAUUCUAAUUAAAUUAAAUUAAUUUUAAAUUCUAAUUAGUUAGACUGAGUUGGAUCCAGGUACUGACAUACAUAUUUUAAAAGCUCCCCAGGGGGUACUAAUUUGCAACCAAGGUUGAGAACCAUUCAAUAAGGUUAAGUAUGGAUGUUAGGGAAAGGAUGUGAAUCUCUGCAGAAGGGAAUUUAAGACAUCAGAGCAUUUGUGAAUAAUGGAAAUUUUAACCACUGAUAUUAAUUUUUCUUUAGAUUACCUAAGAUCAAGUUUUGUCUAUAACUGAUUUAUUUAAAAUGUUUGACUCUUAAUUUUUGAGUCUUAGAGUUGAAUGCACUCACAGUGAAAUACAUUAGCACAAUAUCCUCUUUUAGGUUCUGCGUCCUCCCUCAGCAUCUCCUGUCUCACGGCACUCUGGGCAGCAGUAGAAUUGCUGUCCCAGAUUAGCACUCUGGAGCUACAAGACUAUACAUGAAUGUUAAAAAUACCCCACAAGUUCUCUUUGAAAAUAAUUUAUUAAAAUUUGUUUAAAAAUGGAAUACUAUGUUAGAGAACAUAAAAUUGUCUCAAACUCUGAAAAUGAGCAACAAGAAAAAAACCACUACAUAUCACAUAAAGUUUAAUCAGCUGGGGUUUAUUUUGCUUGAAGAAAAGGGCCAAUGUGUGACUAUGGGUUCCUAGAGAGCUAGUCUGUGGAACGUGGUGGCAUGUCUACAGCAAUAUGAAACAGAAAAUUGCAUUAAAAACUGUCAUGGAUAGAAGCAACUUUCUGAUGGUGAGGAAUAUUAAAACAACAUAUUACUGGAGAAGAUUAGAUUUUCCUUUCCUGGAGAACUAGAAAAGGAAAAUGAUUCUCCUUUCAUUUUUCUUGUUUAUUUUGCCUGUAGAACUUGAUCUUCAUAUAUAAAUGACAGCUAUUUUUCCUUCAGUUUCUUUGAUCUGGUAAAAUUAGUCUAACAAUCUUGGUAAAAAAGUAAAUACUUAGGGUUCACGCAUGCCUUUUUACCAGUACAGCUCAGAAGACAGCAUUUAUUGUAUUCCGUUUAUGUUACUUUCAUCCUUUAACUAAUCAAGUCCAAGAUCUUUUUAUUCACCUUUCUUUUUUCUUGAAAAAGCCACAGAGGUGGCCUUGCUUUCAUACACAGUAUGUAUCAGAUCAUCUCACAUUUUUAUUGCAGUAUACAAAGGCAUCCUAAGAGUUUCCCUAAGAAUUUUCUAAAGGUAUUGCUUUUUUAUGAGCUGAGCUUAAGAGAUUUUCAUACAAUUUUUGCCUAAAAUUAAAUUGAAACCUUACGUGAGUUGAAGAAUGUCCAUAUUCACUGUUGACCUUUUUUUUGAAAUGUGAAUGGAAUCUUUGAGAAUCUCUGAUGCUUUUGUGAAAAAAGAGACGUAACCAAAAGUCCUUUUAAAACGCAAAUCUUUUUUUCACAAAAGGAAACAAUCUUGUGGAGGACACAGGAGGCUUGAACGAGGUGGGUGAGGGUUGAGAUAUAAACUAAGAAGUGUAUUCAAGACAAAAAAGGUUUUGGGAAAAGAGUAAAAAUAAAGGGAGGAGAUGACUCAGUGAGAUCAGUUGUGAUCAGGCUGUCAAAUGCUUUCCCAGUGAGUGAAGAAAUGAACGCAGACGUCAGGCCAGAGGAUAGUCGGGACAAGAAGCAGAACUGCUGGGAGAGGAGGAAGGGAAGGAAGAGAGAGGAGGGUGGGGAGCAGGAUCAGAGCUACCCCCUCACUAACCUAGCAGAGACAUAAGAGCUGGGACCAGGGAGAGGAUGACAGGAACACAAUCGCCCUCAGUAGACACACACCCCAUCGGAGUUUUAUUCCAGUUAAAUUUUCUUGAACAACCUCAUUUUCAUUACUUCAUUGUAAUGAAAACGUUUU